UAGUGGCGAACGGGUGAGUAACACGUGGGCAAUCUGCCCUUCACUCUGGGACAAGCCCUGGAAACGGGGUCUAAUACCGGAUAAUACCUGCCUGGGCAUCUGGGUGGGUUAAAAGCUCCGGCGGUGAAGGAUGAGCCCGCGGCCUAUCAGCUUGUUGGUGAGGUAGUGGCUCACCAAGGCGACGACGGGUAGCCGGCCUGAGAGGGCGACCGGCCACACUGGGACUGAGACACGGCCCAGACUCCUACGGGAGGCAGCAGUGGGGAAUAUUGCACAAUGGGCGAAAGCCUGAUGCAGCGACGCCGCGUGAGGGAUGACGGCCUUCGGGUUGUAAACCUCUUUCAGCAGGGAAGAAGCGAAAGUGACGGUACCUGCAGAAGAAGCGCCGGCUAACUACGUGCCAGCAGCCGCGGUAAUACGUAGGGCGCAAGCGUUGUCCGGAAUUAUUGGGCGUAAAGAGCUCGUNAGGCGGCUUGUCACGUCGGGUGUGAAAGCCCGGGGCUUAACCCCGGUCUGCAUUCGAUACNGGNCUAGCUAGAGUGUGGUAGGGGAGAUCGGAAUUCCU
rnacentral:rRNA from 1 species